GGCCUGUUGUAAGAGGAAGGCAGAGGUGAAGACGAGGGGGGAGAGGAGGAAACUGUGUGUUCAAGGGAUGGGGGAGGAGCGGACGCAGAGAACGACACAGGAAAAGAGGGAAAGAGCCGCCAGCUGCCGAGCAUCAGAGAAAAGAAAAAGGAGAGUGAUUGAGUACAAAGAGAGAAUAUGUUAGACUGGGUUGGCUGAGCUGGAGGAUAUGGAGGGAUUAAGUAUCUUUCAAAGUGAAGCCCAGGGUAGAAAACUUCCCAAACAAAAAGAAAAGACAUUGAGUUGGUUAUAAAUAAAGAAAAGUGAACAUGUCCACAGACUUUAUCAGGUGUUGUUUAUACGGUUGGGAUGUUUUACUAUUUAUUAGAUCACAAUAAUGAUAAUAAGCUAUUAUCACUUUCGAUUUGGAGACACUAAAAUCCUUUUUACAAAUUUGUAUUUCUUACUACAUUUCCCCUUGUGCUGCCACCUCCUUGUGCUGCUGUGUCAAUUGUGGAUUUCCUCUAUAGACGAUCAAUAAAGGUACAUCUGAUCUUA